ACACAUGCAAGUCGAGCGGCAGCGGGAAAGUAGCUUGCUACUUUUGCCGGCGAGCGGCGGACGGGUGAGUAAUGCCUGGGGAUCUGCCCAGUCGAGGGGGAUAACUACUGGAAACGGUAGCUAAUACCGCAUACGCCCUACGGGGGAAAGCAGGGGACCUUCGGGCCUUGCGCGAUUGGAUGAACCCAGGUGGGAUUAGCUAGUUGGUGAGGUAAUGGCUCACCAAGGCGACGAUCCCUAGCUGGUCUGAGAGGAUGAUCAGCCACACUGGAACUGAGACACGGUCCAGACUCCUACGGGAGGCAGCAGUGGGGAAUAUUGCACAAUGGGGGAAACCCUGAUGCAGCCAUGCCGCGUGUGUGAAGAAGGCCUUCGGGUUGUAAAGCACUUUCAGCGAGGAGGAAAGGUUGGUAGCUUAU
rnacentral:rRNA from 1 species